rnacentral:rRNA from 1 species
AAGUCGUGAACAAGGUCUNCCGUUGGUGAACCAGCGGAGGGAUCAUUA